AAUAGAUACCCGGGUAGUCCACGCCGUAAACGUUGGAUACUAGGUGUGGCGGUUAUACCAAUGACUGCCGUGCCGAAGCUAACGCAUUAAGUAUCCCGCCUGGGGAGUACGGCCGCAAGGCUAAAACUCAAAGGAAUUGACGGGUCCCCGCACAAGCGGCGGAGCAUGCGGCUUAAUUCGAUGCAGCCCGAAGAACCUUACCUGGGUUUGACAUCACGGGAAAAGCUGUAGAAAUACAGUGUCCAUUAGGGCCCGUGACAGGUGGUGCAUGGCUGUCGUCAGCUCGUGUCGUGAGAUGUUGGGUUAAGUCCCGCAACGAGCGCAACCCUUGUCCUAUGUUGCCAGCGGUUCGGCCGGGGACUCAUAGGAGACUGCCGGGGAUAACUCGGAGGAAGGUGAGGACGACGUCAAGUCAUCAUGCCCCUUAUAUCCAGGGCUGCACGCAUGCUACAAUGGCCGGUACAACGGGCAGCGACCCCGCGAGGGUGAGCGAAUCCUAAAAAGCCGGUCCUAGUUCGGAUUGAAGUCUGCAACUCGACUU
rnacentral:rRNA from 1 species